rnacentral:rRNA from 1 species
GUCGAACGGGAUCCAUCAGGCUUUGCUUGGUGGUGAGAGUGGCGAACGGGUGAGUAAUGCGUGACCGACCUGCCCCAUACACCGGAAUAGCUCCUGGAAACGGGUGGUAAUGCCGGAUGCUCCGACUCCUCGCAUGGGGUGUCGGGAAAGAUUUCAUCGGUAUGGGAUGGGGUCGCGUCCUAUCAGGUAGUCGGCGGGGUAACGGCCCACCGAGCCUACGACGGGUAGCCGGCCUGAGAGGGCGACCGGCCACAUUGGGACUGAGAUACGGCCCAGACUCCUACGGGAGGCAGCAGUGGGGAAUAUUGCACAAUGGGCGCAAGCCUGAUGCAGCGACGCCGCGUGCGGGAUGACGGCCUUCGGGUUGUAAACCGCUUUUGAUCGGGAGCAAGCCUUCGGGUGAGUGUACCUUUCGAAUAAGCACCGGCUAACUACGUGCCAGCAGCCGCGGUAAUACGUAGGGUGCAAGCGUUAUCCGGAAUUAUUGGGCGUAAAGGGCUCGUAGGCGGUUCGUCGCGUCCGGUGUGAAAGUCCAUCGCUUAACGGUGGAUCUGCGCCGGGUACGGGCGGGCUGGAGUGCGGUAGGGGAGACUGGAAUUCCCGGUGUAACGGUGGAAUGUGUAGAUAUCGGGAAGAACACCAAUGGCGAAGGCAGGUCUCUGGGCCGUUACUGACGCUGAGGAGCGAAAGCGUGGGGAGCGAACAGGAUUAGAUACCCUGGUAGUCCACGCCGUAAACGGUGGAUGCUGGAUGUGGGGCCCGUUCCACGGGUUCCGUGUCGGAGCUAACGCGUUAAGCAUCCCGCCUGGGGAGUACGGCCGCAAGGCUAAAACUCAAAGAAAUUGACGGGGGCCCGCACAAGCGGCGGAGCAUGCGGAUUAAUUCGAUGCAACGCGAAGAACCUUACCUGGGCUUGACAUGUUCCCGACAGCCGUAGAGAUAUGGCCUCCCUUCGGGGCGGGUUCACAGGUGGUGCAUGGUCGUCGUCAGCUCGUGUCGUGAGAUGUUGGGUUAAGUCCCGCAACGAGCGCAACCCUCGCCCUGUGUUGCCAGCACGUCAUGGUGGGAACUCACGGGGGACCGCCGGGGUCAACUCGGAGGAAGGUGGGGAUGACGUCAGAUCAUCAUGCCCCUUACGUCCAGGGCUUCACGCAUGCUACAAUGGCCGGUACAACGGGAUGCGACACGGCGACGUGGAGCGGAUCCCUGAAAACCGGUCUCAGUUCGGAUUGGAGUCUGCAACCCGACUCCAUGAAGGCGGAGUCGCUAGUAAUCGCGGAUCAGCAACGCCGCGGUGAAUGCGUUCCCGGGCCUUGUACACACCGCCCGUCAAGUCAUGAAAGUGGGUAGCACCCGAAGCCGGUGGCCUAACCCUUUGUGGA